rnacentral:rRNA from 1 species
UACGGAGGGUGCAAGCGUUAUCCGGAUUCACUGGGUUUAAAGGGUGCGUAGGUGGGCAGGUAAGUCAGUGGUGAAAUCUCCGGGCUUAACUCGGAAACUGCCAUUGAUACUAUCUGUCUUGAAUACCGUGGAGGUCAGCGGAAUAUGUCAUGUAGCGGUGAAAUGCUUAGAUAUGACAUAGAACACCUAUUGCGAAGGCAGCUUACUACGCAGAUAUUGACGCUCAUGCACGAAAGCGUGGGGAUCAAACAGG